GAUGAACGCUGGCGGUAUGCUUAACACAUGCAAGUCGAACGGACUCUUCGGAGUUAGUGGCGGACGGGUGAGUAACGCGUGGGAAUCUGGCUUUGGGUUCGGGACACCCACUGGAAACGGUGGCUAAUACCGGAUGUGCCGAGAGGUAAAAGAGAAAUUGCCUGCAGAUGAGCUCGCGUCUGAUUAGCUAGUUGGUGAGGUAAAGGCUCACCAAGGCAGCGAUCAGUAGCUGGUCUGAGAGGAUGACCAGCCACACUGGGACUGAGACACGGCCCAGACUCCUACGGGAGGCAGCAGUGGGGAAUUUUCCGCAAUGGGCGAAAGCCUGACGGAGCAAUACCGCGUGAGGGAAGAAGGCUCUUGGGUUGUAAACCUCUUUUCUUAGGGAAGAACAAAAUGACGGUACCUAAGGAAUCAGCAUCGGCUAACUCCGUG
rnacentral:rRNA from 1 species